AGUGAACGCUGGCGGUAGGCCUAACACAUGCAAGUCGAACGGCAGCACAGUAAGAGCUUGCUCUUACGGGUGGCGAGUGGCGGACGGGUGAGGAAUACAUCGGAAUCUACUUUUUCGUGGGGGAUAACGUAGGGAAACUUACGCUAAUACCGCAUACGACCUACGGGUGAAAGCAGGGGAUCUUCGGACCUUGCGCGAUUGAAUGAGCCGAUGUCGGAUUAGCUAGUUGGCGGGGUAAAGGCCCACCAAGGCGACGAUCCGUAGCUGGUCUGAGAGGAUGAUCGGCCACACUGGAACUGAGACACGGUCCAGACUCCUACGGGAGGCAGCAGUAGGGAAUAUUGGACAAUGGGCGAAAGCCUGAUCCAGCCAUACCGCGUGAGUGAAGAAGGCCUUCGGGUUGUAAAGCCCUUUUGUUGGGAAAGAAAAGCUGCAGAUGAAUACCCCGCUGUUCUGACGGUACCCAAAGAAUAAGCACCGGCUAACUUCGUG
rnacentral:rRNA from 1 species